GACGAACGCUGGCGGCGUGGAUUAGGCAUGCAAGUCGAACGGUAUGGACCUUUCGGGGUUCAGAGAGUGGCGAACGGGUGAGUAACACGUAGGUAAUCUACCCUCAAGACGGGGACAACCCAGGGAAACUUGGGCUAAUACCGGAUGUGUGUAGUGGCUAUUUUUCUGAUUAUCAUUAUUUACGUAAGUGAGUAAUAAUAAGAAGGGAAAGUGGUUAUUACAUAAAAGGUGGCGUAAGCUGCCGCUUGGGGAUGAGCCUGCGUCCUAUUAGUUAGUUGGUGAGGUAACGGCUUACCAAGGCGAUGAUAGGUAGGCGGCCUUAACGGGUGGUCGCCCACACUGGGAUUGAGAUACGGCCCAGACUCCUACGGGAGGCAGCAGUCGAGAAUAGUCUACAAUGGACGGAAGUCUGAUAGUGCGACGCCGCGUGAACGAAGAAUCCCUUCGGGGUGUAAAGUUCUUUAUACGUGAGCAGUGUCCUUUAUAUUAAUAGUAUAAGGGGAGAGAUAUUAGCGUAUGAAUAAGCAACGGA
rnacentral:rRNA from 1 species